rnacentral:rRNA from 1 species
GCGACCCCAGGUCAGGCGGGAUUACCCGCUGAAUUUAAGCAUCACAUAAAGCGCGGAGGGA